ACUCAGAGAUCUCCUUUGUUUUAAUGCCAUUGAUCAGUCAUGUUUUUCCAGCGUGUACUAUUCAUAUUAUGUCUAAGCUCACAUCGGUCAGUGAAAUUUGUACAGGCAUAUAGAGUCUGACAAUGCUUCACUGACUUCAGAAGGACUUGAUUACAGAUAUUUGAUUUGUCUACCUCUGUUUAAAUCCAUUGUCUGAAACCCAGAUUGUGAAAUCAGGGGAAAGGAACAUGAUAUUGCUUCUGAUUUAGUUAAGCCAAAAUGUUCAACAUGAGCCACUUAAACAUGUCUAGGUGCUGAAAUAUAUGUUUGGAUUUACAUAAUUUCAAGACCAGGAAAUUAAUAAGUGUGUUGUUUGGGGAGCAAAGCAUUGGAAUGUGAGAUUAAAGACUGCCCUUAAGCAAUAAAGGCGUUUUAAACAGUUUUAAUUUUAAAUACUUUGCAGCUUUUACUUUCUAGUGAAUGUGAGGCAGAGGUUUGGACCCUGCUUCCUUUUUCUUUCUUCAUGUCAUAAAUAUUCUCUCCUAGAGCAUGGAAAAUAUGUCAAUUACACUUAAAGCAGUGUUUAUUGCACAGCAGAUGUGUGCAUACAGCAACUGUAGCUGAAAGCCCAAGUAUUUAAUUAGCAGUUGCCUGCAGCUGGAUUCUUUCUUUCUAAGCAAGUGGGGAGGUGGGGAAAUAUAAAAGGAUGUCAAGAGAUGUUCUGCUGACAGUGAGCAAGUUCAUGUGUAAUUACUUACUAAAAAUUUUGCUGUGCCUCCAUAUUUGAAGCCAUCAUGUGGUAUUGCUGCCUUUUCAUUGUGCUGAAUUUCAUGUCCUCACUGACCAGACACAUGUGCUGCCUCAUUCAAAUAACAUUUGAUUGCGUUGCAUAGCCUUAAGAAAGGAGGAUAAUAGAUACGAAGAUCUUUUUAAUAGUCUUGUGCUAAUCUGUUAGUUUCAUUGUGGCUGUUCCCUCUACAGUUGAUGAGAGUUUGCCACAGAUUGGAAGGCUGAGGAUUUAUGGUACAGUCAGAUCUCAGAGUCUGGAAAUACCUUCUUCAUGGUCUCAAAGUAUUUCACAAUUUAGUAACCAUUACAUGCAUUCCAAUGGGAGCUGAUUUCAGCAAUAGAAGAAGAUAUUUUAAGCUGGAAGAUGGUAAGUACAUGCCAAGACAUGCAGCCACACACUGUGAAGUUUAUGGAAAGUAUAAGUGAUGCUCCUGUCCCACCCCACUGUUCUCGAGAUGUUAGGAUCCCAUGUGUUACAGUAUGCAUUUCCAUUGCAUGUGUGUGUUUGUUAGGUAAUUUAAUUUCGUAGCAACCUGUAACCAAAAGGUGGCAGCAAUCUACCAUACUAUGACUAUGAAUAAAUAUAUCACUCGGUAGUGGUAUUACUUAAGGUGCUUAGUUUCUUUUCUAAACCAGAAUCCUUAUGUACAAUCUGUUGCCUUUGUUGCUAUAGGAUGGAAUUGUGUAUUACUAUUUUAAUAGCUCUCCUAACUUUCUUACUGCUUGGGCUAUAUCUCUCAGAUAUUGCAAAGCAGAAUACAAACUGUCUUCUCUUUUAAUAAAGCUGACUAAUAAAAGUGAAAAUAUUUUAAAGAAAUAUUUUAUUAUUCAAGUACGGAAAAUUUUGUAAAAUGUGGCUGGGUAAUUAUGGUGCUUGAUCACUUCCUUCUUUAAAUGCCUUUUCUUUGCCAGGGCCCAAGAUCACACUUCUGACCACCUGAUUAUUUUCUUAAAGGGGCAUGACAGGAUGCCAGUUUGUUUAUGGAAUUCUGUAUUUAGUGUCUUAAGUAAGCCACAUACAAAGCAAGAUUAAAAACAAGUUCCUAAACUCAGAGCUGCAGUUGUCCUGAGAAUUGUCCAAUAACAGCAUUGAAAUGAUGGCAGCAAGAUGUACCAAACCUUCUGUGUUGGUAUGUAUAGAACUUCUCUGAAGAAAACCUGUUUUUCCAGAAAGUAGCUGGUUAGUUGGUUUGCUUCUACUGUAUUUCUUCAGUGGUGUGAGGUCUGUAAUGGCUUUUGAUACCCCCCAAACUUUGCUAUGCACCUUACUGUUUUGCAGAAAUGACCUACCUAACCUUUAUUCUCUAUUAAGUGAAAGAUCAUGCAACGUAGUUCUGUUCCCAGGAAGAAAGGGAAUUACUCUGCAUCAAUCCAAGAGUCGUGCAAGGUAAUUCAGUAAACACAGAGCUGUUGACAUACAGUGUCUGGCUUGUUUAUGCUUAAAACCUGAAAUUUUAAGCUGGCAUUGCAGAAACUAUCUUACAUGGCCAGAUGUGGAAGAGCACAGUGGACGGGGUGUGCUCCACACCUAGCCCAGGAACUAUAAAACAUGGGAGCAGAUUAAUGACAGGUAAGUCUGAUGCAAAGGUGGUCCCUUGACUUAGACUUGAAUCCCAUUAUUGCUACAGCAAAGACUUGCAAGGAGAAGGUGGCAAGAUGGCAGUUUCUUACACAGGCUCUCUUCUCUGUUUGUCCAGAUCCAGUUCUUUCUCUGAUGGAGAUCAACUAUCUUAACUUUUCAGGUUAACCUAAUUCUACCUGAAGAAAAUAAAUCUGUAAUCACCUGAAUGCUUUGUGGCAAAUUGCUGGAAUGGUGGUCUCUAAAGAUGGACCUCUUUUACUAGUACAUCUGGAUCUGGAAGAGUGAAUUUGCCCAAAAUCUUACACUGAUGUAAGAUGUGAAUUCCUUGUAGUUAUUUUUCUGCAGUGAUACCAGCUGUUUUCUUCAACUAGAGGUGUAGGUUAUUCUAAGGAGAAUUACAAGCCCUUGUUCAAGUAACGGUGAUGGAGAAAUGCGAAAACACUACCUGCAGCCUAAGGAUAAGGACAUGCCAAUAAUUCCCUUCUUCGGAUCACAAAAGAGGCUUUUCAAGAAAAAUAGGUAUUCAAGUAGAAGUCAGUGUGGAUCUCCUGGUAGAUUACUCUCUUUCCAAAUACGAUGGAUUUAACACAUGAUGUUUGAGAAGCCCAUCAAGGUCAUGCCGGAGAGGUGGUGUCUAAGUUGAGAACAAGACUCUCCUUCCUCCUGUAAUAGGUCCUUCUCUGUUCAUUCACCAGUUAUCCUUCCAAAAGAAACCAGUAAUUGGAGAGGAGCAGGGGGAGGAAAUAAUACGUACUUGGACCUCAGCUCUACAAGAGUCAGUACUGUGAAGUUAAAUAAAAUGACUUCCAGAAGAGUAAUGUUGCACCUUUGAUGCCUCUCUUGUGGGAGGAGGAGAUGACACAGCUGGGACAUAUGUUUACCGCAUGAUAGACCAAAGUUUUCAACAGAUUCUGGGCUUGCCCCAAGAGAGGGACAAAUAUUAGAGGCUUUCAAAAGGAGGAGAAACCUUCUUCAGCAGAGCUGGCGGGUAUUUUUGAAGCCCACCUAAACCCCUGUUGAGUCUAGCAAAGCAAAGGCUGCAGGGAGACCAUCAGUAAGAACAGAAGAAUGAGAGACCAGACUUUGCCUACCUCUGAUUUGCUUGAUUUCGAAAGAGAUUUUACAGAGGAUGGAUGUCCUUUUAGUAUAAUCACCUUCAGGCCUUGCCAUUGCUGCAGUAGAGGGAAAACACUUUAAAAUGCUUUUUAAGGCACACAGGGUCUAAGAUGAGUAGAAAUUUGUGGAGUUACUUCACUGCGAGGGGAAUGUCAGCAAAAGUUUUGCUGUGUGUGAAAUACUGGCCAGUUUGCCAGCAGACUGUGUGGUUAUGUAGCUCUUGUAUAAGGUUUUAAACGCACCUUUGUUCAGAAUUGUUCAGUGGGAUUCUGACCAUUGUUUAACUGCUCCACAAUAAUAUUUCUCGUCAUUGUUAUCUCACUAAACCAUCUUUGAGGCAAAUUGCCCAGAGACAUCACACCUAAACAUCAUGUAAUGUUUCAUGUGCAGGACUUUUGCAUCUAUAUCCUGUUCUUUUACUAAAGCAAUAGCACCUUACUAUUUCUUCCUAAUAUCAUGCCAGUGCACCCUCAAUUAGUAUGUCAGCUUGCAGUAUGUUAGGCGUGAGAUCACAUACUGCAAUGGCAAAGGGAAUGGCAGGUAAGAUGCAAUAUGCUGCAGCAGUGGGGUAGGAUGGGCUUCCUUUGAGAAUAGCUCUGUAGCAUAAGACUAUACCCAUCAUGCGACUUGCUGGCAAAAGAAGUGGGGUCCCGUUUCAUGUGGCUCAAUGUGUGGAGCUUCUUUUCUUGCAUGAUGAGAGCCUGCAUGGUGCCUGAUGAGUGGGUAAGGUUCAAAACAGUGGAUCACUGGUUUUAUGAAUACCAUAAUAUUCAACCUUUCCCUGAUAAUGAGUUAGAAUUCAGUGAAUUAUUGUGCAGAAGCAGAACUCUCAUUUUGAGAGUCAAAGUAAUUUAGCCAAAUGCAUAACUGCUGCACUGGAAAAAAAGAGACAGAUGUCUGGUCUGUUUCCUGCUGCUUCCCAGAUGCAAUGUUUUCCUACAGGAUAUUCCUUUUGAAAUUCUCUGUGUGCACACCUUCAUUUUUUUGCAUAAGCAGUGAACAUGCUACCUAAUCACUUAAAUAGAAAAACAACUUUAUGAUAAAUCAUGUGAGGCAAUUUUGUAUGCACGUGUGCAUUGUUUUUUGAGUAAGAAAAUAAGGCCACCUGGUAAGCAGGCUUUUAAAAACAUAUUAAAUUUAAGCAUCUCCAUGUGUGGUCAUAGAUAAUAUCAUUUAAAUGCUACAGAGGUUUCUAUGUAUAUGUUUAAAUAAGAAACAAAGUGACAUUAAGUCAGGAAAACUUCAUAAAUCCUGACAUGGUGCUAAUCUGUAUAUCACCCUGUAUGUUUUGUGAUUGUGCACUUGAAGCUAUAAGCAAGAGUAUGCUAUGUCAAGAAACUUAAAGGUAGCACUGCACUAUUAUGAAUCCUUAAAUUUGUCCAGCCAACAAUGAUAAUUUUUUUUUUUUUUGUUAAUUUGAAUCAUUCACUGAAUUACAGACUGUUCAUAGGAAAAAACCCCAACCCAUCAUAAAUCUCCAACUCAUCCGCACCCUGAAGGGCAGCUGACAACCCAUGUCUAGCACAGAGAAUCUGAAAAAAAGGGGUGGGGAGAGCAUAUGUAAUGCAGCAUGGCAAAUGGCUGAGACACAAGGUAUCAAAUAGGGAACAUGACUUCUGUGCUCAAAACUGGAAUCGAGGUUGGAAAACUGAUUAGACUGGAGCAGAGAUGGCUCUGUGUAUGAUGCAUGCCUUGAUGAAUUAUAGGAUGUCACCCCCCAGGAAGCCCACUAAUGGCUGGAUUUUCAGAAAGACUGCCUCUGCUUUCCUUGAUGAGACUUAAGGCCACCACUGUCUCCAGUGCUUUGCUGGAUCUAUGCUGUCUAUGAAUGUGUCUGCCUUUUCUGCAUCCCUAUGAAUGCAGGAAGUCUGAAUGAAUUUCAAUGUGCACUCAUAUACAGUACAAAUUCAUAAAUGGGAGAUCAGCUGAGAAAAGAGAGGAAGAAGUAUGAAUGGAUCAAAUAGUUAAAUACUGCAUUAACAAAAAACCCCAAAUGUUGAUUCAACCACAGGGAAGAAGAGAGCAAUGAACUAUGGAUUUUACACGGUUGCUUAGUUUGCUGUUCACAGAAAAUUGCACGGUUACCCGAGCAAAUGCCACAUCAGAUGAAUUAUCUGUGAUCUACAUGACAUCUCCUUCAGUGAAGCACACGUGCAAGUCCCAGUCACAUGGGCUAGUUUUCGCUCAGAUGUGUUUAUUGUUGGACUAGCUACAGGAAGCACAGGGCUCAUGCUUACUGCCAUGAGAAUUUAAAGCUGUGCAACUCUCCCUUCCCCUCCUUCCAAACUUGUUUUAUGGGUAAGGAGAAUUAUUCAGUCACUAUAUCCUAUCUUCUUUCUCCUCUUCCUUUCUAUUUCUCUGUCCCUGUUUCUCUAGUAUCCAUUCUUCCAGAAUCUUGGUUUGGGUAACAGAUUAUAAAAUCUUUAUAGAGUGCUCAGAUGCAUCUAUUCAUGCACAGUGACCUUUUCACUCAUCCUUAUCAUCCCCUGAUCUCCCAAGUCACUCUAGCUUCUUGGUGCCUUGCUCCAUAAUGAGUUUUAUUGCCCGUGAGGCAUGGGGGUGGUAUUAUUCCUGCUUUUACAAGGAUAAUAGUCCCCACCCUCAAAUUUAUUUAAGUCUAUUUCUGCCUCCAGACAUUGUAUAAGGUAUAUCUUGCCUAUAAAUGUUUCCUUCCAGGUUUUUUUUUUUUUUUUAAGACUUUUCAAAAAACUCUGAUUCAUUGGGAGAGACUUACAUUCCUCCAGGGUUGUGCUGGAGCUGUUAGGAUCUCAGCUUGUUCAUGAGUGAACCGUUACAGUGUACUUGCUAUUGCUGGCUUCUUCCCACCCCUGCUUGGAGGAGUGGUGGUGGCAAGUUUUCUCCCCCAGCCUUAAGCCUCUGCAGGUACAAAUCUAAGUCUUUCCAUAGGUGCCCAUUCCUUUCCCAUGUCAGUAACUCCAGUUCUUCCAGGACUCCAGGCAAAAGAGUACUGAAACCCCAGCACCCUGAGAUCUGUGCAUGCAAAGGGGUGUCUUUCUGUCUCACAGUCAGCUCACACCCAGACCUCAAACUCCAGGUACGAGUACAUCUCUGGUGGAUGAACCAUUAGCUCUUUGGAAUUUCUCAUUCAGUUGUAGGUAAAUGUCUGCAGCACAAGGGAUACUAUGAAAAGGGUAGUGCAGGACUGUUGGUGCAGCCAACAAAGUGCAGCCAGCAAAGUGCAGCCAACAAAGCUGCAUCCUCUGCAAAGAGGGUGGUAAGGCUUUGAAUUUAGGCUUUGAUCUGUACCUGCAACAAUCAAAGCCUGAGUGGAAAAUAAUGAUCUGCACUGGGGAGGAUGUACAGAAGAAAAAUAUGUGGGAACAUGAUGUUACAGUGCUUCACUUUUCCUAAUGUACCUCAGUAAAUGUUACCCUAACUGACUUAUGGUCUUGGGGUCACGAGAGUGAAAGUGGGAUUCGAUCCUGUGGUCUUUGAGUCACCACCCAGCAACUUUCACCUGUCCCUUUUGUUUCCCAUUGUAACAAAGGAUUGUGUUAAGUGAGUGUGAUCUGAAACUGAGGAAGCAGAAGUUGUUCCUGACUUUCUUGCAUCUUAAAGCACACUGCAGUGGCUGUCCUGAAAGCAACUACCAGCUGUCUAAGCUGUAUUUAAAGCAAUGAAGUAGAGCUAAUAUAUUCCAUCUCUCUAUAAUUCAGGAUAUCAACCAGAAAAGUAGGUAAAAUGUGUACAGAACUAAGAUAUUUACUUUCCCAUACUCUCUUGGUGUUUAAGGCAAAAAUGCUAAUAGUACUGUGGAUGUGGGCUGUGAUAGGGUUUUGGUUUUUUUUCUUUUUCUUUUCUCCCCCAACUUCCCCCAGAAGUGAUUUGACAGUAAUUUUGUGCUAGGUCUCUUAACUGGAUUUUGCUCAUAAAAUUGUGUCUCAGAUUUAUUCCUCCAGACGUGAACUGCCAGCUCUGACGCAUGUGAGCUGGAACUACCUGACUCACUUCAAACCUGGAUGGUCCUAAAUCAAUAGAGACAUCUUACAUCAGCAGUAGUUGUUAAGUGCUGCUAAGGGGCCACUUAAACUGCCAACUCAUAAGUCAAGUUAUUUUUGGUACAGCUCCCUGAAUGGUAUAGUUCCUAAUUAAGUGAAUUCGAGCAAAUCCUUUAUAUUUUUCAGCUGAGAGAGUGGUGAUGAUGCACAAAUUAGACAUAGCAAAUCCAGGUUAGCAGUGGGCAGAUGGUACAAUGUGAAUGCAGAAUGAGUAAUGGAUAGAAGCCAGUAUCACAGUGAUAGAUGAGGUUGUGCACUUCCGGGUAGGGGGGGGGAAAAAAAAAAAGAGGAAAUUUCUGCUCUUUCUGAAUCAGUCUAAAUAUCACCAUAAGAUUCUAAAUCAAAGCAUGAGGCAGGAGCAGUGAUAAUUCCAAAAGGUGUAAAGCAGAGUGUCUUUGCGGCUUGCUAGGAUUAGACUGUACCAGCAAUAGAAACGACAAACUGCACUGAGAAUUUACAUCCCUGUGCAGCAGUGCCUGGAAAAACUUCAGUCACCAGUGAGCACAGUAGCACGACCACUGAAUAAGCAAGAGUGAAAAAAUUGAGGCUACACAAGAUCAAAGACACAAUCACAAAGAAACAGAACAUAAGUCAACCCUGACAGUCCAGACCAAGAUACAAAGACCCCAAUAAACCCUGAUUUUGAUAAAUCACUUAAAUUCUUUGGUUUCUAUCUAUCUCCUGGGCCACAUAAGAGCAAAGCGGAAUGCUGGCCUCUCACAGGUAGACUUUGGGAGCUAUUUUAAUCUGACCUUGUUUACAGAAGCUGCUUAGUCACUAUAACCACGCUGCUGAAAAUGAACCUGUGCAAUACCUCCCACUCCCUCUUCCCUUCUCUUCCCCCAGUGGUUUGAAUAGACAUGGCAUGAUUCACAGGCAGAGGUACCCCUGGAUGCUAACCUUGUGUCUGGUCCUUUUCUCAUGCUGUGGACUCCACAGAUUGAAAACUACAGGUUCUGGAGGAAGCUCGAUGCCCCUCCUGUCUUUUCACCACAGAAAAAUACCGUGGCUAUGGAAGCUGACCAGACAGAUCCUUAGGAAUGGUGUUCCUGGAGAGCAAGACUGUAGGAUUAACAAAGUUAAUUUUUCACACAUAGCCUGAAAAACUCUUGAGAUCCCAACAGCCCUUUGGAAAACAACAAAUGGACCACAAUGCUCUGCCUCUGCCUGACCUCAUCCCUCCUGAUCCCAGAGGCUUGGUUCAGCAACCUUGUGCCUGGUAGCUGGCCUGUCAUUUGGGCUCUGCUGGUGGUCUGGGCUGGUGUUUUGAAAAGCAGUAAUUUCUUGAAAUUAGCUUUGUCUCACCUCUUGCCAAUGUCUUGCCUCUCCCUGACCCCGCCUUACUCAAUUUCUCAACAGAAAGUUAUUCAGAUCAACAGCAGUAGUUUAAUUGCCUGUAGACCCAGUGAAGGAGACUUGUUAAAUGGUGGCUUGAGAGUCUGUCUUAUGGUUAUCUUUCUUCCAAGCUUAGGAAAUGCACAACCGUGGUGUCAGAAUUGACAAAAGUUGUCAAACAUCAGUCAGUUUUCAACUGAAACUGGGUAUCUCAAUCCACUGUGGAGGUUACAUUGCAGAGUGAUAGUAAUAAUUAUGGUGACAUUUACAAAGCAACAGGCAAUUACAAUUUGACACUGAAAAACCCUUGUCUGGCAUGAGGUAUUUAAGCACAAUGGGCAUUGUAAACGUGCCUAAGCUAUGUAGGUGAAUGAGAGCUGCUGUCUAUUAGCAGCCUCCGAAUGCUUCAGAUGAUUCUGAAAAUGGGGCUUAGCUUUCCAUGUCACUUUUAUGCUCUGAAAGUGUUAUGUGUUUCUUACAAGAGCAUUUGGAGAAGGCACUAAGUCACGCCUGAACAUUGUACAAACUACCUGAAGAUACAAAAGCUCAAAAAGUUCUCUGACAUUUCAAGUCAGAUAUUCUGAGAAAAGAAAAAUACCAGAUGUGGUAAUCUAUCAUGAGUUACAAGUUGUAAAACAAAUAUGUCAUGAAGAUAAAAAUUGAUAACUUGCUUAUUUUCAUAAUUAAAAAGUGCAAGCACAUUACUGGCGGAUGUCUAAAAAUGUUAUGGGUAGAUUAUAUCUAAGAUGAAUGUAUAUGUACUAUAUCAAUAUACUGUUUAGCUUUGCAAAUGACUUGUGGAAGUCUGGGUUGUUCUCCCAGUCAACUUCAACAAAGGUAGUAUUAGAAAAAUCACUUUUCUUAACAGAAAGGAAAAAUCUUGAUGUUGAUUGGGCAUGGAACUCAGUGUAGAUAAGAGAGGGGAAGGGAAAAAAUGCUCUUCUGUUGGAGAGGAGGUAAAAGUUAGAAAGUGAAUGGUAAGAUCUGAGCUUUAUUUGAGCUAGUCAAAUGGAUUCCAAGGAAACAAUUUGAAGUGCAGGUACCUUACGUGUAUGAGCUGUCUAAGCCUUCUAGGUGUCCACCCUGCCUGAGGGCAUAAAGAGCAGAAUUGUCCAACUAACCCUGAAUUCAUUUUUACAAGCUGUUGCUGCAAGGCAAAGUCACUUGCUGAGUCUCUAGAGUGUUGUGCUGUUCCAAUAACAUUGUUAUGAGAUUGUACUGUUAUAGUAAUUUACUGUGAAAGAUGAGCUCAAACGAAGUCAUGAAUAAAACAUCAUUGAAACUGA